GAUGAACGCUAGCUACAGGCUUAACAUAUGCAAGUCGAGGGGCAGCAUGGUCUUAGCUUGCUAAGGCCGAUGGCGACCGGCGCACGGGUGAGUAACACGUAUCCAACCUGCCGUCUACUCUUGGACAGCCUUCUGAAAGGAAGAUUAAUACAAGAUGGCAUCAUGAGUCCGCAUGUUCACAUGAUUAAAGGUAUUCCGGUAGACGAUGGGGAUGCGUUCCAUUAGAUAGUAGGCGGGGUAACGGCCCACCUAGUCUUCGAUGGAUAGGGGUUCUGAGAGGAAGGUCCCCCACAUUGGAACUGAGACACGGUCCACAAUCCUACGCGAGGCAGCAGUGAGGAAUAUUGGUCAAUGGGCGCAGGCCUCAACCAGCCAAGUAGCGUGAAGGAUGCCUGCCCUAUGGGUUGUAAACUUCUUUUAUAAAGGAAUAAAGUCGGGUAUGUAUACCCGUUUGCAUGUACUUGAUGAAUAAGGAUCGGCUAACUCCGUG
rnacentral:rRNA from 1 species